rnacentral:rRNA from 1 species
UACGUAGGGGGCAAGCGUUGUCCGGAUUUAUUGGGCGUAAAAGGCUUGUAGGUGGCCACGCCAAGUCGGAUGUGAAAUCUCCCGGCUCAACUGGGAGGGGUCAUUCGAUACUGGCGGGCUCGAGGCCGGUAGGGGGAAGUGGAAUUCCCGGUGUAGUGGUGGAAUGCGUAGAUAUCGGGAGGAACACCAGUGGCGAAGGCAGCUCGCUGGGACGUUACUGACGCUGAGACGCGAAAGCGUGGGGAGCAAACAGG